UGGGGAAUAUUGGACAAUGGGCGAAAGCCUGAUCCAGCAAUGCCGCGUGAGUGAUGAAGGCCUUAGGGUUGUAAAGCUCUUUUACCCGGGGUGAUAAUGACAGUACCGGGAGAAUAAGCUCCGGCUAACUCCGUGCCAGCAGCCGCGGUAAUACGGAGGGAGCUAGCGUUGUUCGGAAUUACUGGGCGUAAAGCGCACGUAGGCGGCUUUGUAAGUUAGAGGUGAAAGCCUGGAGCUCAACUCCAGAAUUGCCUUUAAGACUGCAUCGCUCGAAUCCAGGAGAGGUGAGUGGAAUUCCGAGUGUAGAGGUGAAAUUCGUAGAUAUUCGGAAGAACACCAGUGGCGAAGGCGGCUCACUGGACUGGUAUUGACGCUGAGGUGCGAAAGCGUGGGGAGCAAAACAGGAUUAGAUACCCUGGUAGUCCACGCCGUAAACGAUGAUAACUAGCUGUCCGGGGACUUGGUCCUUGGGUGGCGCAGCUAACGCAUUAAGUUAUCCGCCUGGGGAGUACGGCCGCAAGGUUAAAAACUCAAAUGAAUUGACGGGGUCAUAGCUGUUUCCU
rnacentral:rRNA from 1 species